GAAAUCCUCUCUCCUACAGGAAAUUUGUUUGAUUUUUGAAGGUGUAUAUAUAUUGCCUCCUAUCCUAGUUUCCAGAUUACAAAACUUCUAAAUCAACAAGGACACGGAAAUACUUAAAUUCUACAAUUUGCAGCAGAAUGCUCAAAAUUUUCUCAGAUCCCAAUUCUAUAUUCUCUGUUUUAAGGUAUUGGUCACUUAAUUCAAUUCUGUUUUCUUGCCUUUAAAAAGAAUCUUUAUGUUGAACAUAAAUCGGUAAAUCCACGCUUCAGAAAAGCGAUACUGAAAUACAUCUUUUUUUAUCAAUCAUACGUAUAUUUCAGUAUAGUAGUAGAACAGGUAUAAUCUUUUUUCAUACUUCUUUUGCAGCAGACAUGGCAGAUUGGACUGAACUUCCAUUUGACAUUUUGGGUGUCAUAGCAGAAAGAUCUCAUUCCAUGGAGGAUUUUAUUUUCUUUGGAGCUGUUUGUAAAUCAUGGAAAUCAAGUACUUUAAUACUAGAGAGAAGACCUCCAUUGCCUAUUAGAUAUCUGAUGCGGACAUCAUCCUCAUCGGGCCAUUUUGUUAGGUCAUUUUAUCUUCUAUUUAUUUAUUUUGGACUUUAUGUCUCAUUGGGCUUGUAUAUGGGUUUGGCCCAAGCCCAAUUUUAUUAUUUUGUUAUUUAUAUUAUUGUAAUUGGGAUUGAAAGUUUAGUUGAUGAAUGAAAGACAUUUUCUUUAAUGGUUUGUCCACGUCUCUUCCCUCUCCCUCACUUUCCCCUCUCCUUUUCUCUUCUUCUUCCUCCUCUCUGCCUUUCCCUUCUUUCGGUGCUGCCUAAUUCUUCUUCUCAAGUGAUUUUACAUCAAUUCUUGGUAUCAGAGCAAAACCUGAUUUUCUUUAUCAAUCUACUGUUUAACUUGCAGUAUGAAACAUUUGGAAACAGUCGAUAUCAAGAUUCCGUGAAUACAUUAAUCUAUGCCCUUAGCCAAACAACAUGCUCCAUGCUAGAAAAUCUCGACUACUGAACACUUCAUCUUUGUCUACAAACACCACCGACAACAACCACUGGCACACAAUAUCGACAUUACCCACCUGUGUUGCUACCUUGGUCGGGGAGCAGGUCCCCUCUCUGUGACUGCUACUGCAACUCAUAACCACAUCCCUUUUACAACUUCCAACCACUCGUAAUUCGAUCAACCCCGGAACAACCUACCAACUAUGUGCUUUCAACAGCCACUCACAAAACAAAAAAAUAACCGCCCCCAAUCAUUUAAACCAUAAUAACCCACCUCACAGUCAACCACCAAAAGCUCGUUUUCACAAACGAUAACCACCUCUCAAGCAAUGAUCUGACCCCAAGCUUCCCAACAACGCCCAACAGCCUAUCCCUCAUAAGUCCAUCAUCUAGAAUCGUUGCCUUUCAAUAACCCACCUACCUUCAUCCGCAGACACCAUAAAAGCAUCCUUGCCUCAACUGGACAGCCCCGAUCGACCCCCGCCGUCGACUUUCUUCCAGCAUCAACAAAAGCCCACAGAAAUCUCAUUGACUGCAUUUUCGCAACUACAGAAAAUCCACACCGUUAGCCACUUCAUUGUCGGAAGACACCCGCCCCACCACCUCAAGUUCCGUCGCCACCUCUGAUGAUGAGCAACCCGCGACGCCGAAACGCCCACCUCCCCAUCGCCUCCUCCAAUUGUAGAUGUUGUUUGGGCUUUAGUCUCUAGUUCUUGCUUUUAUUUUUAUUUUGGGCCUAUAUAGGGGAAUGAUUGCUAGUUUGGGGCCUUAGCUUGUAACCUGUUUGAUAUUAAAAAAAAAAAAGGAGUAAAAAAAAAAAGAAGAAGA
rnacentral:lncRNA from 1 species